UCCACAACGCCCGAGUCCUCAUCAAGCAAGAGAGCAUCUAUUAACCCCAACCAAAAAACAUCGAAUUCCAGCACAUAUGCCCCAUGUAUGAAUUAUGAUCUUCUAAAGUUCUUGCAAGCAUGCUUCAGAAUUCUGAAUGCUUUUGUUUUCUGGGCAUUUUAACAAUUAUGUUGAUUAAUGGCAUCAUCGAAUUCCAACAAAUAUGCUCAGGCAAUCAAAGCUUCAUCCUUUACAAUCCCAUUCAGAAAUCUUUUGUUCGGAGUGCAAUACUUGAUAGUAUCUACUCAAAUUAUUUAUCACAUCACCCUCUACGCGAACGUGUUAUGUAAAGCAUAAGCUCUGAAAUUAUGAACCACUUAUUCGUGCAUCUUAAGGUAGCUACUUUCUUCUGGAACAAUCAUUUUUUUUUAUGAGAAAGUACUUUAGAGCUGAUAAGGGUUUUGGUCCAAACAAAGGCAAAAAAAUUUAGGUAGUGUGUAAUUUAUGCAGUUCUUUGAAGCAGAAGGCACUUGUUUUCUCAGGUUUUCCUAGCCACUAAAAAUGCUCAGGAUAAUAUCAAGUUUCGGCCACUGAUGCUUUGCACAUGUUACAAUGGCGUGCCCAUCUCUGAAACGAACAUAGAUUCAGCAGCACUGCUGAAAUAUUUGCUCAUUUCUAGUUGUUCCCAUUUAUCCACAUAGAUUGGAUAUCUUAUCCUCACUAUCUUAAAUACUGUUUUCCAAUCCAAUAAAAAAGGACACCAAAGUCAUUGGUAAACAAAAUUAGAUUUUCAUUAUACUUGCAUUGCAAGGUCUCUUCUAACAUAUAAUAAUAAAGAUAAGUCAAAUAAUGUUCUCUACAAUACAUAAAUUUUUUGUUGUUGAGUGAUUUAGGAUCAGAGGACGCUUUCAAUUUUUUUUGUUGAAUGAUUUAGGAUCAAAGAAAACAAACACAGGACAAUGCAUCGUAAUGCAACAUGAAACUUUUAUCAGCUUACGAGGUACUGGUAAUUAACAGAAGAAAGUAGAUGCUACUUGGCUGAAAUUAGAUCCUAGCAGUAGCACCACAUCAUAUCACAAACUGAAUCAUAAAAAGACUGUCACUAGCCAUAAUGUUAACUUUUUUUUGUGUAGCUGGAGGAGAUCUUGGUUACAACCAUAUGUCUAUACUUAUUAAAAAAAUCAAAUAUACAGAUAAAGAUAAAAAUAUGAUAGUUUGAGAUGGUUACCAGAGACUUUUUGGCUAAUUGCAUGAGAAGUGUGUGAAAUGCACAUCCAAAGGAGAGAAAAGAGAGAAUAUGGAGAAUGUCCAUUUAUUUUAUAGGAAUUGAACACGGUACUGGGGAGUUUACAACAAGCACACACCCUGCUCAACCAACUGAACUAGAACCCCUUGGUAUGUCUAAUCUAUAAUCUAUGAGUAGAUUAAACAAUUACAACAAUGAACGAUUUAAAUCCAAUGAAGUGUCUACAACUCCUCAUUCACCCUUACAGCUUAUGAAGUUACAUUAUACCUGCUAUUAAGAAUUGUGACCAUACACGUUUCGAAGAAGAAAGGGGUCUGAAUACAGACAAAAACCAAACAAGACACAUGCACAGGGCACCCAUAUUUUUUAAUUAUUUUUAGUUUCAUCAGUUCAGGAAGGUGGUAAAUAUUUGAAGAACUCCGUUGGCUAUAUCUACUAAUAGUUGUUUUUUUUCUCUUCUGAGUUCAGACAAGGCAAAAUUCCAAACUUAGUGCUAUUCUUAAACCCAGAUGCAUUAAUUUCAUUCCACAAUCCAAAUUACAAAAGUGAAAAUUGAAAUAGACAAUUACCUUCCACCGUAAAGAAGAAAACCAAGGGCUGCAAACAAAGAAACCCCUACAUACAUGCAUGGAAAAAAUUAUUAACGUCAUGAUCAAUAAAAUCUGAUAGUUAAACCCUCAUAACAAGAAGAAAAAGGACUCUUGAAUAUAUAAACCUGCAAAGAACAUCUUAGACAGGAUGACUAGCACGCUGAUAGGUUUCCACCAUAAUAUUAACCAUAAAGUAAUCUGAAAAACAUAAAAUGAUUUACUGUUAGAGUGGCAUGACAAAGAGUGAAGUAAAUAAAAGAGGAAUCUACAAAUUCAAAACCAGUCAACAUAAUAAAGUAGCAGCUAUUUAAUACUCCGAAUAGAUCUUAUAGUAAUAGAAGAAAAGCACUGAUGCCACAGAAAAGUUGAAAAAUAAUAAAGGUAAAUUGACUCAAUAGUAAAACAUCAAUUUUAGGACAAAAAUGAAAUGAAAGGCAAACAUAUUAAAAAAAUUCUUAAUCAAUCCUGUUGGAAAACAUUUUAUAUUAUCUUAGAACAUUUUUCUUAUUAGGUUAUUAGCCAUAUUGGUAGACUUGGGCUAGCACAAGUAGUACCAGUACAUGACUUAAUUAUUAGUAUAAACAAAAGAAUUAGGCUAAGGUAUUGGAACAUAUUAUAUCUGUCAAUUAUAUUUUCAUUUGAUUACUUUUAAUCUGUCUUUGUCAUUUCCUUCUUCUCUAACCCUGAAACUAUGACUAUAUAAAUUGAUAUCAGAGCAGUAAUUUCUUUGUAUUUUGAACCCCACCCCUGAAAAAUAAAAUUCAACAGAUAAUGAUGUAGAACACAUUUCAAGGCUAGGAGUGGAGGGAUGGUGAAAGUAUGGAUGCCCAAUGGUUAAGAGCUGCAUUGGGGGGGGGGGGGGGGGGAGUCUGUAGGGAUUAUGGGCACAUGCUUCUGGAAAUGUGGUGGCUGGUGACUCAGUUCCAACACAGGCAACAACAAUCAACGGCUCACCCUCAUUUACUCCAGAAACAAAUUUUUUAUAAGCCUUAUCCUACUAGGUGAAACCAGUUACAUGGAUCACACAACUCCUCCAUUAGGCUAGGUUAGAGCAGAAGCAAUGAUUCCUUCAUCCCUGACAAAGUGACAAUUAAAAACUGCAAGGAUUUUUUAUAACCCCCAGCACAACACCCCAUUUAUGUUUAAUAACUGGUCACAAAAUAGAUCUGAUAAUGAGUGUGAUAGGUUUCUGCUGGGGAAAAACCUGCAGACAGAUGGAUAGGUUCAACUUGCAUCAGAUCUGACAAAGAAAGAACUAUGGAUCUUGGGGCUUCUAUAAGUAAUGGGCACAGCUAGAAGUAUUAUGUGAAGGACUAUUUCUACAAAGCAUUGGGUGGGGACGGCCAACCCAUCUUAUACAGCUCUAGCUGUACCCUAAUAGCUUCUUUAUCAUAUUGAUUGGCACACUGUCAAUUGUAGUUUCUACAUAACCUGAGAAAUGCAAAAUGAAAAUGGAAAAAGACUGAUUGCAACAUUCAUGGCCUCAAAAAGAAGUUCAACCACUGCGCUGAGUGGUAACAGUAACAUGUGCAAUCAUGGGCAAGAUUUUUUCACCUGAAUAACAUAAACCACAGCAUUAAUCGUAUAGAAACUUGGUCUGAGACCAUCAGUAGAUACGGCACGUGCCUGCAAAACAAUGUAGCAUCAAAGUCAUAAACUCAUAAUCAGGCCACCAAAAUAGCAAUAUCCCAUACUCAUUAAAAAGAAAAAUAGUAAAUGUACAUAUACCACAGAAUGAACUUGCCUGGUAAUAAAUCUCAGCCCAGAACAGUACCAACAGCGCAUAAGUUGUAAAGAAAGCAAGACUAGGCAUGUCAAGUAAGAUAUGUUGGACAAUCUGCACACACGAAGCUGAGCAUUAGCUAUGAGAUUAAAAAACUUAAUUUAUAAAGGAAUUGAAAAAAAAAAAAAAAA